rnacentral:rRNA from 1 species
AGUGAACGCUGGCGGUAGGCCUAACACAUGCAAGUCGAACGGCAGCACAGUAAGAGCUUGCUCUUACGGGUGGCGAGUGGCGGACGGGUGAGGAAUACAUCGGAAUCUACUUUUUCGUGGGGGAUAACGUAGGGAAACUUACGCUAAUACCGCAUACGACCUACGGGUGAAAGCAGGGGAUCUUCGGACCUUGCGCGAUCGAAUGAGCCGAUGUCGGAUUAGCUAGUUGGCGGGGUAAAGGCCCACCAAGGCGACGAUCCGUAGCUGGUCUGAGAGGAUGAUCAGCCACACUGGAACUUAGACACGGUCCAGACUCCUACGAGAGGCAGCAGUGGGGAAUAUUGGACAAUGGGCGCAAGCCUGAUCCAGCCAUACCGCGUGGGUGAAGAAGGCCUUCGGUUUGUAAAGCCCUUUUGUUGGGAAAGAAAAGCAGCAGGUUAAUACCCCGCUGUUCUGACGGUACCCAAAGAAUAAGCACCGGCUAACUUCGUG